AAAGCUAUUAUCAAUAUAUUUUUCUUAUAUGGACCUCCUCAGAAAAUAAUAAUGGACCAAAGAGAUGAAUUCAUUCAACAGAGACAGGUUUCACCAUGUUGCCCAGGCUGGUUUUGAACUCCUGAACUCACAUGAUCCACCUGCCUCGACCUCCCAGAGUGCUGGAAUUACUGGCGUGAGCUACCGCACCCAGCCCUUUCAUUUCAUUCUUAACCAUAAUUACUUGCUAAUGGGUAAUGUGUACCUGUUGACCACUGCUUAACUUCUCAGACCUUGGGAUCAUAUUGUACACUGCCACCCUCAUUUCCUGUUUCACACUGAUUUUUACAUAGUAACUGCUUUUUAUCACAGCAUUCGAUGAAGAAAACAGUUCUGUAAAGAUAUGAUGUCAUCAAACAAAUUGUAACCUGAUCUAAUGUUGAAACUGAACUACCUUAAACUGGUAGUUUUCAUGGUGUCAAACAGAUGUUAAGGGGGCAACUUGGCACAAAGUUUGGUAACAAUGGUUUAAAUGAUAAAGCUAGUGUCACAAAUGUGUCUAGUAGAGGA
rnacentral:lncRNA from 10 species